GAGCUCUCCCCAGCUCUACGUAUACUAAAAUUAGAAUGAUACAGAGAAGAUUUGCAUGGCCUUGCCCAUGGAUGACACCCAAACUCAAGAUGCAUUCCAUAUUGUG